rnacentral:rRNA from 1 species
UUUAAUGAGAGUUUGAUCCUGGCUCAGGACGAACGCUGGCGGCGUGCCUAAUACAUGCAAGUAGAACGCUGAUGUUUGGUGUUUACACUAGACUGAUGAGUUGCGAACGGGUGAGUAACGCGUAGGUAACCUGCCUCAUAGCGGGGGAUAACUAUUGGAAACGAUAGCUAAUACCGCAUAAGAGUGAUUAACACAUGUUAGUUAUUUAAAAGGAGCAAUU